rnacentral:rRNA from 1 species
GACGAACGCUGGCGGCGUGCCUAAUACAUGCAAGUCGAGCGAACGGACGAGAAGCUUGCUUCUCUGAUGUUAGCCGCAGACGGGUGAGUAACACGUGGAUAACCUACCUAUAAGUCUGGGAUAACUUCGGGACACCGGAGCUAAUACCGGAUAAUAUCUUGCACCGCAUUGUUCAAUAGAGAAAGACGGUCUUGCGGUAACUUAUAGAUGGAUCCGCGCUGCUUUGGCUAGUUGGUAAGGUAACGGCUUAUCAAGGCAACGAGGCAUAGCCGACCUGACAGGGUGAUCGGCCACACUAGAGCUGGACCGCGGACAAGACUACUACGAGAGGCAGCAGUAGGGUAUCGUCCGCAGUGGGCGAGAGUCUGACGGAGCGGCGCGGCGUGAGUGAUGACGGUGUUCGGAGCGUAAUACUCUGUUAUGAGUGAAAAACAUAUGUGUAAGUAACUGUGCACAUCUUGACGGUAACUAAUCAGAAAGCCACGGCUAACUACGUG